GACGAACGCUGGCGGCGCGCUUAACACAUGCAAGUCGAGCGACGAAAGGCCCUUCGGGGCCCUGAAAGCGGCGAACGGGUGAGUAACACGUGGGUAACCCACCCUCGGUUCCGGGAUAGCCCGGGGAAACCCGGAUUAAUACCGGAUGGCCUCCCGAGCUCACGGGCUCGGGAGAAAAGGUAGCUUCGGCCUCCGACCGACGACGGGCCCGCGGCCGAGUAGCUGGUUGGCGGGGUAAUGGCCCACCAAGGCGACGAUCGGUAGCUGGUCUGAGAGGACGAUCAGCCACACUGGGACUGAGACACGGCCCAGACUCCUACGGGAGGCAGCAGUGGGGGAUCUUGCGCAAUGGGCGAAAGCCUGACGCAGCGACGCCGCGUGCGGGAAGAAGGCCUUCGGGUUGUAAACCGCUUUCAGGUGGGACGAAGCCACUCGGGUGAAUAGCCCAGAGGGUGACGGUGCCUCCAGAAGAAGCCCCGGCUAACUACGUGCCAGCCGCCGCAGUAAGAC
rnacentral:rRNA from 1 species